rnacentral:rRNA from 1 species
UGAAUACCAGACGCUACGGCGUUGAAGCAGUGUAUGUCAGACUUCCAAGAAAAGCUCGCAAUGUCCGAAAUAAAAUAAUGCCUGUACCAUAACCGACACAGGUGGGUAGGUAGAGUAUACUAAGGGGCGCGAGAUAACUCUCUCUAAGGAACUCGGCAAAAUAACUCCGUAACUUCGGGAGAAGGAGUGCCUUAUUUUAAGGUUGCAAUAACAAGAUCCAAGCAACUGUUUACCAAAAACACAGGUCUCCGCUAAGUCGUAAGACGAUGUAUGGGGGCUGACGCCUGCCCAGUGCCAGAAGGUUAAAGAAGUUGGUUAGCUAUUGCGAAGCUGAUGACUGAAGCCCUGGUGAACGGCGGCCGUAACGAUAACGGUCCUAAGGUAGCGAAAUUCCUUGUCGGGUAAGUUCCGACCCGCACGAAAGGCGUAAUGAUUUGGAUACUGUCUCGGAGAGGGGCUCGGUGAAAUAGACUUGUCUGUGAAGAUGCGGACUACCUGCACCUGGACAGAAAGACCCUAUGAAGCUUUACUGUAACUUGAAAUUGAAAUUGGACUUUAUUUGCGCAGUAUAGGUGGGAGGCGUUUGAAGAUAUUCUUGCGGGAAUGUUGGAGCCAUUAGUGAGAUACCACUCUUGUAAUGUUAGAUUUCUAACUUUGUACCAUAAUCUGGUCAAAGAACAGUUUCAGGCGGGCAGUUUGACUGGGGCGGUCGCCUCCCAAAUGGUAACGGAGGCGUACAAAGGUUUCCUCUGAACGUGUAGAAAUCGUAUCUAGAGUGUAAAGGCAUAAGGAAGCUUGACUGUGAGACCUACAAGUCAAGCAGGGACGAAAGUCGGUCUUAGUGAUCUGACGGUACUGAGUGGAAAGGCCGUCACUCAACGGAUAAAAGUUACUCUAGGGAUAACAGGCUGAUCUCCCCCAAGAGUUCACAUCGACGGGGAGGUUUGGCACCUCGAUGUCGGCUCAUCGCAUCCUGGGGCGGUAGUACGUCCCAAGGGUUGGGCUGUUCGCCCAUGAAAGCGGUACGCGAGCUGGGUUCAGAACGUCGUGAGACAGUUCGGUCCAUAUCCGGUGUAGGCGUUAGAAUAUUGAGAGGAGCCUUCUUUAGUACGAGAGGACCGAGAAGGACAUACCUCUGGUGUACCAGUUAUCGUGCCAACGGUAAACGCUGGGUAGCUAUGUAUGGAGAGGAUAACCGCUGAAAGCAUCUAAGUGGGAAGCCCACCUCGAGAUGAGUAUUCUC